ensembl:snRNA U6 U6 spliceosomal RNA
GUGCUCGCUCCGGCAGCACAUACACUAAAAUUGGAACGAUACAGAGAAGAUUAGUGUGUCCCCUGCACAAGGAUGACAUGCAAAUUUGUGAAACGUUCCAUAACUUU